CAGUCGCCACGGGAAUACAGAGGGUGCGAGCGUUAAUCGGAUUUACUGGGCGUAAAGCGUGCGUAGGCGGCUUCUUAAGUCGGAUGUGAAAUCCCUGAGCUUAACUUAGGAAUUGCAUUCGAUACUGGGAAGCUAGAGUAUGGGAGAGGAUGGUAGAAUUCCAGGUGUAGCGGUGAAAUGCGUAGAGAUCUGGAGGAAUACCGAUGGCGAAGGCAGCCAUCUGGCCUAAUACUGACGCUGAGGUACGAAAGCAUGGGGAGCAAACAGGAUUAGAUACCCCCGUAGUCCCUGUCUCUUAUAA
rnacentral:rRNA from 1 species